rnacentral:rRNA from 1 species
GACGUAGGGCGCGAGCGUUGUCCGGAUUUAUUGGGCGUAAAGAGCUCGUAGGCGGCUCGUUGCGUCGGCUGUGAAAACCCGCAGCUCAACUGUGGGCUUGCAGCUGAUACGGGCGGGCUGGAGUUCGGUAGGGGAGACUGGAAUUCCUGGUGUAGCGGUGAAAUGCGCAGAUAUCAGGAGGAACACCGGUGGCGAAGGCGGGUCUCUGGGCCGAUACUGACGCUGAGACGCGAAAGCUAGGGGAGCAAACGGG